GAGUAGCUGGACUUGAGACUCACAGCUGACCCUGAUCCCCAGACUGUGCCCAUUUCCAGUUGAGCAGCUUUGAUCUCCGGAGCCGCCUGUGCCGCUUCAUAGCUGAGGCUCCCCAAGAACUGGCCUUGCCCCCAGAGGAAGCUGAGAUGCUGAGCACCGAGGCCCUCCGUCUGUGGGCUGUGGCUGCCUCCUAUGGCCAGGGCGGUUACCUUUACAGGGAGCUCUACCCAGUGCUGAUGCGGGCCUUGCAGGUGGUGCCGCGGGAGCUCAGCACCCACCCACCUCAACCCCUGUCCAUGCAGCGGAUAGCCUCACUGCUCACUCUCCUCACCCAGCUAACCCUGGCAGCCGGCAGUACCCCUGCUGAAACCAUCAGUGAUUCUGCUGAGGCCAGCCUCUCG
rnacentral:sRNA from 1 species